rnacentral:piRNA from 1 species
UAGCAAUUUUUGAAAAAAAAU